rnacentral:rRNA from 3 species
GACGAACGCUGGCGGCGUGCUUAACACAUGCAAGUCGAGCGAGGAGCUUGCUCCUAGCGGCGAACGGGUGAGUAACACGUGGGCAACCUGCCCCAAGCUCUGGAAUAACUCCGGGAAACCGGGGCUAAUGCCGGAUAUGACAUCAUCGGGCAUCUGGUGGUGUGGAAAGAUUUAUCGGCUUGGGAUGGGCCCGCGGCCUAUCAGCUUGUUGGUGGGGUGAUGGCCUACCAAGGCGACGACGGGUAGCCGGCCUGAGAGGGCGAUCGGCCACACUGGGACUGAGACACGGCCCAGACUCCUACGGGAGGCAGCAGUGGGGAAUAUUGCGCAAUGGGCGAAAGCCUGACGCAGCGACGCCGCGUGAGGGAUGACGGCC